AGCAUGCUAGCUGGACCCCAGUCUAGAAGUGUGGCAGAGUCUUUUUAAAACAAUUUGAUCGUAUAGAUCAUAAUCUCCAAGUACCAGGAGAUGUUCUGUAGCACUGUCUAAUAUAUUAACAAAAAUGUGGCUUAUCCAUCCCAAUUACUCUUGGUCAGAUUCUUGGCAGCAGCAGGGCUUCUAGGAUUAUUAGUGAGAGAAGAAUAUAAGUAAAGUCUUCUGAAAAGAAAGAGGGAACUUGUAUUAUUUAUGUAAUUCAAGAACUCAAGGUAAGACAAUAGAGUGACAAACAGGCAAAAAAAAAAUCGUAGAAUAUUUAUCUGUUUCAACACCAAAAGCAUAUAAAUAUUUGUAUAUGCUAACGUGUAUACUAGCAAAAAAAAUUUCUUUGUCUUCUUACAUUUCAGUAGCUUCAUUUGCUUCAGAGUGCAGGACCUGAAGACCAAUUCUGUCAGCAGUCGGUGACUAACUGCUCCACGGCUGAUGGGAAAUUAUUCAUAAUUACACUGAAUAAUCAAAAAAUGUGAAGACACUUUCAUGCUUGCAGAAGCCCUAUGUCUGCAAGUGAGUGUGGAUACUACACUAAAAGCUAGUUGAGUUAUGAGUACUGGCUUCCUCAAGGAAGGCAGGAAGAAGAACUCACUCCUUUUGCAUGAACCACCAGUGUCGGAGUUAAUAGAAGGAAAGAGAAUUGCAAUCUGCUGGAAUGGAAAUUACUUAGAAGAGGUCUUACCUGACUGUAAGUAUCUACAGGGGCUUCAUCUUUUAUUCUCCUCUAAAUUAGCAGCCAACAGAUAGAUGUAUGACAUUUUGUAACCAGCUGCCUGGUGUCAUCUUUAUGUCAGGAAAAAAAAGAAGAAAUUAAUGAGUUCCUUGGAACUGGGUGAAAAAUACACUGUAACAGAGAAUAAUACUCAGCAUGGUCAGGCAAGCAUGUCCAGAAUGAUGGGAAAAAGUGCUCAAUGAAAUACCAGGUUUGAAAAUUGCCUAGCUUUCCUGGGGGAACUGCCCCUUUGACAGCAUCUCCAGUCUCAGGUGAAAAAAAGAGAUAUUCAAGGAUAUGUUCUUCACACUCUAUCUUCUUUAUAAGUGCCAGUCUGCAUAUAUUUUUCUAAACUUGUGGCAAAGAAUCCUGAGCUUUUGUUGUUAAAAUUAAAUUGACCCACAUAAACAAGUUAAGUUUGAAAUUACUCCUUUGUGGACAUUAAGUAAUGUUAGAGAUCCGUGAGAUUAUGCUAAGUAACAUUUCCUUGAGCCUGUCAGCACCUUUUUCAUCAACUACACAAGCUGUUUUUCCAGUGGACACUCUUGUACAAUACAUAUAGAAUGGGGAUUUGAGUUACAGUGUAAUGUAGAAUUACAUUUGGCACUUGGAUUAGGGCCCUUACUUCCAAUUCUCCUUUGGUUCACUAUAAAAAACAAAAGUGUGUGUCACAUCCUUUUCUCUGUUACAGAGAUUUUUGACAGGAAUAAACCAUAUUCUUCUGUUAUUCUUGUUAGCUGA
rnacentral:lncRNA from 1 species